ACAAGUUCUACCAGAAAGACUCAGGGAGGUAGAGAUAAGACUGAAGUAUUUAUUUACAACAACACAAAAAAUAUAAUUAUUUUGGCGUAGGCCCCAUCCGUAGCGUGGAUCUGAAGUUUGUAGAUACCAGCUAAUCCUGCCGAAGACGAAGGCAGGGCGGAGCCUACCCCAAAAGAAAGAAGAAUAAUGUAAUACGCACCAGAUGAAGUAUUUCUUAGAGGAUCCUGGAACAUGAACGAAAGAGAUAAAUUGAGAUAAUUAGCCAGACAUAAGAAUACAACAUCAGAUUAUAGCUAAAGUAUUAGCUUAUAUGGCAAUGAAGAUAGACCACAGAGCCUUUGAGAGAGGCCACAAUAGGCCGGACAGUGAGAGAGAGAGGCAGGCCACGAUAGGCCGGACAGUGAGGCAGGCCACGAUAGGCCGGACAGUGAGGCAGAGAGGCAGGCCACGAUAGGCCGG
ensembl:lncRNA